AGGGGCGUCGCCAAGCGGUAAGGCAGCAGGUUUUGAUCCUGCCAUGCGUUGGUUCGAAUCCAGUCGCCCCUGCCA
rnacentral:tRNA from 1 species